UAGGGAAUAUUGGACAAUGGGCGAAAGCCUGAUCCAGCCAUGCCGCGUGAUAGAUGAAGGCCCUCUGGGUUGUAAAUAUCUUUUAUCUGGGAAGAAACUCCUCUAUUCUUAGAGGCCUGACGGUACCAGAGGAAUAAGCACCGGCUAACUCCGUGCCAGCAGCCGCGGUAAUACGGAGGGUGCAAGCGUUAUCCGGAUUCACUGGGUUUAAAGGGUGCGUAGGCGGGUGUAUAAGUCAGUGGUGAAAGCUCCAGGCUUAACUUGGAAAUUGCCAUUGAUACUGUAUAUCUUGAAUGUCGUUGAGGUAAGCGGAAUGUUGCAUGUAGCGGUGAAAUGCUUAGAUAUGUUACAGAACACCAAUUGUGAAGACAGCUUACUAAGCGAUGAUUGACGCUGAGGCACGAAAGCGUGGGGAGCAAACAGG
rnacentral:rRNA from 1 species